AGUGAACGCUGGCGGCAGGCCUAACACAUGCAAGUCGAGCGGCAGCGCGGGGGCAACCCUGGCGGCGAGCGGCGGACGGGUGAGGAAUUCGUCGGAAUCUGCCUUUUUGUGGGGGAUAACGUAGGGAAACUUACGCUAAUACCGCAUACGUCCUACGGGAGAAAGUGGGGGACCGCAAGGCCUCACGCAGAAAGAUGAGCCGACGACCGAUUAGCUAGUUGGUGGGGUAAAGGCCCACCAAGGCGACGAUCGGUAGCUGGUCUGAGAGGAUGAUCAGCCACACUGGGACUGAGACACGGCGCAGACUCCUACGGGAGGCAGCAGUGGGGAAUAUUGGACAAUGAGCGCAAGCCUGAUCCAGCCAUGCCGCGUGUGUGAAGAAGGCCUUCGGGUUGUAAAACACUUUUGUCCGGAAAGAAAUCCCUGGAGCUAAUACCUUCGAGGGAUGACGGUACCGGAAGAAUAAGCACCGGCUAACUUCGUG
rnacentral:rRNA from 1 species